rnacentral:rRNA from 1 species
GAUGAACGCUAGCGGCAGGCCUAAUACAUGCAAGUCGAACGGUGUCUUCGGACAUAGUGGCGCACGGGUGCGUAACACGUAUGCAACCUACCUUACAUUGGGGGAUAGCCUUUCGAAAGGGAGAUUAAUACCGCAUAAGACAGAAGCUGGGCAUCCAGCAGCUGUUAAAGAUUUAUCGAUGUAAGCUGGGCAUGCGUCCAAUUAGCUAGUUGGUGAGGUAACGGCUCACCAAGGCAAUGAUUGGUAGGGGAACUGAGAGGUCAAUCCCCCACACUGGCACUGAGAUACGGGCCAGACUCCUACGGGAGGCAGCAGUAGGGAAUAUUGGGCAAUGGACGCAAGUCUGACCCAGCCAUGCCGCGUGCAGGAUGAAGGCGUUAUGCGUUGUAAACUGCUUUUAUACAGGAAGAAACGACUCUUGCGAGAGGCAUUGACGGUACUAUAUGAAUAAGCACCGGCUAACUCCGUGCCAGCAGCCGCCGUAAGAC